AUUGAACGCUGGCGGCAGGCCUAACACAUGCAAGUCGAGCGGGGUUUUCGGGACCUAGCGGCGGACGGGUGAGUAAUGCGUAGGAAGCUGCCCGAUAGAGGGGGAUACCAGUUGGAAACGACUGGUUAAUACCGCAUAAUGUCUACGGACCAAAGUGUGGGACCUUCGGGCCACAUGCUAUCGGAUGCGCCUACGUGGGA
rnacentral:rRNA from 1 species